UACGUAGGGGGCAAGCGUUGUCCGGAUUUAUUGGGCGUAAAGAGCUCGUAGGCGGUUUGGUAAGUCGGAUGUGAAAUCUCCAGGCUCAACCUGGAGGGGUCAUUCGAUACUGCCAUGACUAGAGUUCGGUAGGGGAGUGUGGGAAUUCCUGGUGGAGCGGUGAAAUGCGCAGAGAUCAGGAGGAACACCCGUAGCGAAGGCGGCACUCUGGGCCGAUACUGCGCUGAGGAGCGAAGCGUGGGGAGCGAACAGG
rnacentral:rRNA from 1 species